CGAAAGGGUUUCCGCCAACGUUGCGUCAUCAUCUUAAAGGGGAAACCUCACUGAGGGCUGGCAUGCACUGGAAGGCAUCCUUGUAGGAGUACUGGCUUUGCUUGAAAGGAAGCCAGCCCGAGGGAUGGAUGCGUCUGCGCGGCUGCUAACAAUGUACGGCAGUCCAUCAUAACGAAGGUCAGUAGAACAGAGGUGAAAAACUGACAGUUAAAAUGGCAUUUUUGAAUCAGGCGCCCAAGAGCCGGCUUUUUUGACAACUACGCGUGCGCACCAGAUCAGAUGGAAGCUCUCAGCCACUGCUCCAGCACCAUGCCUGCCUGCCACCCUGCUUCCCAUCAAGAUGAUCAUAGACUAGCUCUCUAAAACUGCUGACCUCAAACUCCCAGAGAUCCACCUGCCUCUGAAUCCCAAGUGCUGCGGAGGAGGGGAUUAAAGGCCUGUGCUACACCACCACCUGACACAUCUCAACAGUGAUGGAAGUGGGUGUUGAGCAACCCCUGGAGAAUCAAAUGGACGCACUCACACAGCGAGCCACCGCUGAGGGAGAAGAAGGGGAAUAAAACUGACCACGAAGUAAGAAAACCGGAUCUCAAAAAUAUGGCGCUAAAAAUAAAACUCCCCUAGGUGAAGGAAGCCAGAUGGAACGUGCUGGCCAACUCCAGCUCCACUUAUGUGAAGUAUCAAGACACAAACAAACCCAGCCAGCCAGGAAGUCAUCAAUAACAACCGGGCUCUCCUUCCCCGGGCCUGGCCGGCUGGAGGGUGUAAGGCCUGUGGGAGCUGAAGAAAUGGGGGAAGCCAGACCUGAGACUGAGAAGGGGUAGCCAAUGAAGUGGAGAAGAAAGAAAGAGAGGGUAGCACUGUGGGAGCUGGAGGGAGACUGUGAAUCCUAGGUGAGAACAAGCCCUCAAAGAACGUAGAGGUCGGAAGUCAAGGGAGAGCAGAGCAGACUGAGGAUUUAGUUACCUUGCCAGUGGCAGUUUUGGUGAGCUGGUGAAGGCUAGAGAGCUGGAAGCCGAUGUGAAGCAGUGUGGAUAGGUCCCUUCGUCACCAGCGGGAAAGGCUGGGGGGCUCUCGGAGACCAAACUGCGAGCAUUAGCCAAUCCCAGGGCCUCUUCCACACCAGAGAAAGAAUUCAGAACAAAGUACGUCGUUGGAAGUUUAGCUCAGGUUAGCCUAUAACUCACUAUGGAGCUGAAGCUGGCUAUAAACCCCUGAUCCUCUUGCACCAGAGUCCAGUGGCCAUGGCCCACAGCCCCCUCCAGGAAACCGUUUCUUCCUAUACCACACCCAUCCACCUUUAUUUCCUGGACUCCUGCUACUUCCUCUUUGCUGAGCCCAUGUCUCUGGGACCCUAGUCUCUGGUCCAUUGGACCGCCAAUCUGUCAAGCAUAUAGCCAAUGAAGAAACCCCAAUGAAUACAAGAGAAACUGACUAUGGUAAAAUACAGUAACUAAGAUGGAAAAGCCAAACUUAACGAUACAAUGAAACAUUCCUGUCUUUCAUUUUUUCUUUUGGAGACGAGGUCUCCCUGUGUAGCCCUCACAAGAAAUCCAAAUGCCUCUGUCUCCUAAAUACUGGGAUUAAAGGUGGAUGCCACA